AGAACAUGUGUAAUCAAAUGGGAGCAUACACACUAGGCAACUGGCAACUUUGGUCGGACCAACUUUUUCGAUUCAACUCAGCAUGUCGAGUCGCGCGCGAUUUGUGUCGGCAACCUUUUCGUUCAAUUGCUGUUGACGUUUUGAUUUCUGCGUUCAUUGAAUUUCAAUAUCUGUCAGUGGUGAUGCAAAACAGUGUUUACAAUAUUGGCGCAUCUGUUUCUAUGAACGAACGAGAUGAAAUGCCAUCAAUAUGCAAGUUCUCUUGAUAUACCGUCCGGGAAGAGUGCUGAAUUGGUCAAGGAUGCGUAUAAUAUUGGAGAUUGAGGAAGAAGCACAGAAUCCGCUGGAUGUGUUUUUUCCAAGUUAACAGCAAUUGUUGCUGUCUGUUGUUAUCAGCGAGCCGAAAUAAGUAUGUUAGAUAGCCUAAGAUUGGAUAAUUCUGGUCAGAUUUCCCGGGAAACCGUUAUCAUCCCUGAUUCUCGAUUGUACCAUGUGCGAAGGUGCGGUCUGCGAAUAUGUGACCCCUGGGAGAAUUUUUCAUAUUUAGCGUUAGUGUAUACAUAAAUCAUUCUUUAGAAGAAUUGUUGAAAAUUUUUCUGUUUUCUUUAUAUAAUUCUUUUCGGCUGUAUUCUUAUUUCAAUGAUUUUUUUAUGUUUGUAAAUAUUGUUUGCUGGUUUGU